rnacentral:rRNA from 1 species
GUGGGAUGAAGUUCUAAUCGAGCGUAAACCACUGUGGUAGAAGAAGAAGUUCCGACGUUACGUCGGGAUUGACGGUACUUUACUAGAAAGGGGCCGCUAACUGCGUGCCAGAAGCGUCGGUAAGACGUGGGCCCCAAGCGUUAUCCGGUGUUAUUGGGCGUAAAAGGUCGUGUAGGCGGUUUUACAAGUUAUCUUUUAAAUCUUCCCACUCAACGGGAAAGCAGGAGAUAAGACUGUAAAACUAGAAUUUUCUUUAGGGAGAAUGGAACUGAAAGAGGAGCAGUGAAAUGCGUUGAUACUUUCAGGAACACCAGUGGCGAAGGCGAUUCUCUGGAAGAUAAUUGACGCUGAGACACGAAAGCUAGGGGAGCGAAGCAGAUUAGAGACCUGCGUAGUCCUAGCCCUAAACCAUGCUUGCUAGCUGCAUUUUUUAAUUUAUUAAGAGGUGUGGCGUAGGUAACCCGUUAAGCAAGCCGCCUGGGGAGUACGGCCGCAAGGCUGAAACUCAAAGGAAUUGGCGGGGAGGCACACAACCAGUGGAACAUGUGGUUCAAUUCGAAACGAACCGAAGAACCUCACCAAGGUUUGACAUCCAAGCGUUCUAUUUCCAAGA